UACGGGGGGAGCAAGCGUUGUUCGGAUUUACUGGGCGUAAAGCGCACGUAGGCGGACAUUUAAGUCAGGGGUGAAAUCCCAGAGCUCAACUCUGGAACUGCCUUUGAUACUGGGGUGUCUUGAGUAUGGAAGAGGUUGAGUGGAAUCCGAGUGUAGAGGUGAAAUUCGUAGAUAUUCGGAGGAACACCAGUGGCGAAGGCGGCUCACUGGUCCAUUACUGACGCUGAGGUGCGAAAGCCGUGGGGGAGCAAACAGGG
rnacentral:rRNA from 1 species